rnacentral:lncRNA from 10 species
ACCACGUUUAGAUUCUGAGACGGGAAGUGGAGGGUGAAUAGGUCACGGCGGCCUUUUUUUUUAGUUUAACUUUUCCUUUUUUGCUGUCUAGUCAUCCUCGUCGGUCUUCUGCUUCUUGGUAUCGACAUCGUCAUCCUCAUCAUCUUCAGCUGCCCGCUUGCCCGUAGGUGACUCAGCUUCCUCAUCUUCAUCUCCAUCCUCUUCCUCACCAUCACCUUCUUCUUCCUCCUCCUCUUCCUCCCCACCUUCUUCCUCUUCUUCAUCUACUUCACUGUCAGCUUCCUGCUCCCCAUUUUCCUCAUUAGCAUUCCCGUUAGCAGGGGCGUCUCUUCCAUUUUCUGCCUCUUCCACAACUUCCUUCUUCUCCUUUAAGUCCUUGAUGGUGAUUUCG